rnacentral:tRNA from 1 species
GGUUGUAGCUCAGUGGUAGAGUGUUCUCCUAGCAUGUGUAAGGCACUGGGUUGGAUCCUCAAUACAAGUA